UGGGGGAUAUUGCACAAUGGGCGAAAGCCUGAUGCAGCGACGCCGCGUGGGGGAUGAAGGCCUUCGGGUUGUAAACUUCUUUUGUUCUGAACAAGGCAUGCUAAUGGGUGUGUUGAGUGUAGGGGUUGAUUAGCGCCGGCUAACUACGUGCCAGCAGCCGCGGUAAUACGUAGGGCGCGAGCGUUGUCCGGAAUUAUUGGGCGUAAAGGGCUUGUAGGUGGCUGGUUGCGUCUGUCGUGAAAGCUCAUGGCUUAACUGUGGGUUUGCGGUGGGUACGGGCUGGCUUGAGUGCAGUAGGGGAGGCUGGAAUUCCUGGUGUAGCGGUGGAAUGCGCAGAUAUCAGGAGGGAUCCCGGUGGCGAAGGCAGGUCUCUGGGCUGUUACUGACACUGAGGAGCGAAAGCAUGGGGAGCGAACAGG
rnacentral:rRNA from 1 species